GAUCAUGGCUCAGGAUGAACGCUGGCGGCGUGCUUAACACAUGCAAGUCGAACGGAGUGCUCAUGACGGAGUUUUCGGACAACGGAUUGAGUUACUUAGUGGCGGACGGGUGAGUAACGCGUGAGUAACCUGCCUUGGAGUGGGGAAUAACAGUUGGAAACAGCUGCUAAUACCGCAUGAUGCAGUUGAGUCGCAUGGCUCUGACUGCCAAAGAUUUAUCGCU
rnacentral:rRNA from 1 species